ACCUCUGUGGUGUAGUGGUAGCACGCGUCCCUGAUGUGGAUGCAAUGCGGGUUCAACUCCGUCUGAGGAC